rnacentral:rRNA from 1 species
CACUCCGUCCGUAAGGACAGGGUAUGACGGAGCGGCGAACGGGUGAGUAACACGUGAGCAACCUGCCCCACAGAUCGGGAUAGCCCAGGGAAACCUGGAUUAAUACCGAAUAUUCUCAUUGGACCACAUGGUCCGUUGAGGAAAUGCCUUUGUGCUGUGGGAUGGGCUCGCGACUUAUCAGUUAGUUGGUGGGGUAACGGCCUACCAAGACAAUGACGAGUAGCUGGUCUGAGAGGACGAUCAGCCACACUGGAACUGAGACACGGUCCAGACUCCUACGGGAGGCAGCAGCAGGGAAUCUUGCGCAAUGGACGAAAGUCUGACGCAGCGACACCGCGUGGGGGAUGAAGGCCUUCGGGUUGUAAACCCCUUUUAGGAGGGAAGAAAUUGACGGUACCUCCAGAAAAAGGACCGGCCAACUACGUGCCAGCAGCCGCGGUAAUACGUAGGGUCCGAGCGUUAUCCGGAAUCAUUGGGCGUAAAGAGCUCGUAGGCGGUUCAGCAAGUCGGCUGUGAAAGUUCGAGGCUCAACCUCGAAAUUGCAGUCGAUACUGCUGUGACUUGAAUUCGGUAGAGGAGAAUGGAAUUCCCGGUGUAGCGGUGAAAUGCGCAGAUAUCGGGAGGAACACCAGUAGCGAAGGCGGUUCUCUGGGCCGAUAUUGACGCUGAGGAGCGAAAGCGUGGGGAGCAAACAGGAUUAGAUACCCUGGUAGUCCACGCCGUAAACGUUGGAUGCUAGGUGUGGCGGUCUACCCACGACUGCCGUGCCGAAGCUAACGCAUUAAGCAUCCCGCCUGGGG